UAGCCUAGUUGUUAAGGCUAUGGAUCGCCAAUCCGGAGAUGGCGGGUUCGAUUCCCGU
rnacentral:tRNA from 1 species